CUACGGGUUGCACCAGUCGAGAAUCAUUCGCAAUGCGCGAAAGCGUGACGAUGCGACGCUGCGUGGAGGAUGAAGGCCCUCGGGUCGUAAACUCCUGUCAGGAGGGAAAAGCCGGCACUUGGUCAAUACCCUUGUGCCCCGAUGGUACCUCCAGAGGAAGCCACGGCUAACUCUGUGCCAGCAGCCGCGGUAAUACAGAGGUGGCGAGCGUGGUUCGGAUUUACUGGGCGUAAAGGGUGCGUAGGCGGCGUGCAAAGCUGGAUGUGAAAUCCCGGGGCUCAACCCCGGAACUGCAUCCGGAACUGGCAUGCUAGAGACCAGGAGGGGAGAGCAGAAUUCUAGGUGUAGCGGUGAAAUGCGUUGAUAUCUAGAAGAAUACCGGUGGCGAAGGCGGCUCUCUGGAAUGGUUCUGACGCUGAGGCACGAAAGCGUGGGGAGCAAACAGGAUUAGAUACCCCGGUAGUC
rnacentral:rRNA from 1 species